UAGAGAAGAACAAGGAUGAGAGUAACUGUUCAUCCCUUGACGGUAUCUAACCAGAAAGCCACGGGUAACUACGUGCCAUGAGCCGCGAUAAUACAUACGUGGCAUGCGUUGGCCGGAUUUAUUGGGCACAAAGCGAGCGCAGGCGGAUUCUUAAGUCUGAUGUGAAAGCCCCCGACUCAACCGGGGAGGAUCAUUGGAAACUGGGAGACUUGAAUGCAGAAGAGGAGAGUGGAAUUCCAUGUGUAGCGGNGAAAUGCGGAGAUAUAUGGAGGAUCACCUACGCUGAAAGCGGCUCUCUGGUCUGUAACUUACGCUGAGGCUGGAAAAGCGUGGGGAGCGAACAGGAUUAGAUACCCUGGUAGUCCACCCCCGUAAACGAUGAGUGUUAAGUGUUGGAGGGUUUCCGCCCUUCAGUGCUGCAGCUAACGCAUUAAGCACUCCGCCUGGGGAGUACGACCGCAAGGUUGAAACUCAAAGGAAUUGACGGGGGGCCCGCACAAGCGGUGGAGGCAUGUGGUUUAAUUCGAAGCAACGCGAAGAACCUUACCAGGUCUUGACAUCCUUUGACCACUAUAGAGAUAGAGCUUCCCCUUCGGGGGCAAAGUGCCAGGUGGUGCAUGGUUGUCGUCAGCUCGUGUCGUGAGAUGUUGGGUUAAGUCCCGCAACGAGCGCAACCCUUAUUGUUAGUUGCCAUCAUUCAGUUGGGCCCUUUAGCAAGACUUCCGGUGACAAACCGGAGGAAGGUGGGGAAGACGUCAAAUCAUCAUGCCCCUUAUGACC
rnacentral:rRNA from 1 species